rnacentral:tRNA from 1 species
GGAUCGAUAGCUCAGUUGGUAGAGCGCAGGACUCUUAAUCCUUAGGUCCCGGGUUCGAGCCCCGGUCGGUCCACCA